UACGUAGGAGGCGAGCGUUGUCCGGAAUUAUUGGGCGUAAAGAGCUCGUAGGCGGUCUGUCGCGUCUGCCGUGAAAACCCGAGGCUUAACCUCGGGCUGGCGGUGGAUACGGGCAGACUAGAGGUAGGUAGGGGAGAAUGGAAUUCCCGGUGUAGCGGUGAAAUGCGCAGAUAUCGGGAGGAACACCGGUGGCGAAGGCGGUUCUCUGGGCCUUACCUGACGCUGAGGAGCGAAAGCGUGGGGAUCAAACAGG
rnacentral:rRNA from 1 species